rnacentral:lncRNA from 1 species
UCUCUUUCUCCCCUUCAGAGUUCAAACCUGAACAAGAACUAGUUUUUUCUUCCCUCAUUUUAGUUCGGUUCCUGAUCUGCCUCCUCUCUAGUAUUUUCUCUUAUGGGUGACUGGCGCGUCUGAAGUCAGCGAGACACGCGAAUGGCUUCGGACUAUCUUCCCACAACCCAGUUAACAACCCAAAGUUGCAGUGAAGAAUUUUCAUGACUCGGGUAGUGGGGUGAUCUCCCAACAACAUGGGAUAUAGCGGGUAGCAAACUCUGCCUUUACUGAUGAAAACAACAAAUCAUUGUAUUGAGAGAGAGGUUAAUAAUACUUUUGACUUCUAAUUAAAGAAAAUUUAUCACCAGUUCACCACUUUGGUUACGUGAUUUCUGUCCACAUUUUUUAGAAGACUAAUCAAAGAGAUUGGCAAGGCUACUUAAACUUCCUAUGUGCGGUAUGACUUGCUGGAGAUCAGGAAACGCUAUUUGGACAGAUAGACAAGUAAGAACAUCACUGGCAGAUAUGGUAUGAUUGCAGAAAAGAAUACAUCUAUCUUUGUUUUCUUUAAGGACCUCAUUCAAACAAUAGCGUCUUGAGGAUUGGACGACACACCACAGAGCUCUUGAGAACUUUACACAAUGAAGGACUUGCAGCUUUAGGGGAAGCAGCAAAAUCAGAUUAUAUUAGAGUUGGGAAUUGGUUAAGGAAGAUCGUAAAGGGCUGUUAACAGAGUUUUUCUUCUUCUUUAUCUACAUUACUGUUUCAAUAUUGGAGGCAGCAGAUGCAACCACGGAGAGGAACAUGAAGAGAUUUAUAGAUUUUUGAUUUUUGAUGUUGUAUUUUAUUUGAAAUUGUAUUUGAAUUGUACAGUACAUUUUAGAAAUAUAGCUGGGUCAAAUUGUUUUUUUUUUUUUAAUAUAUCCCCAUGUUUUGCCACUGAUGUUGGUGGCAUUGAGAAGACACACACUGAUACAAUAACAGUGGGAGAGAAAAAGGUUAUAUGCUGCAUUGAGUUUUGGUAUGCCACUGUUGUUUUAACAGUGUGGAUUGUCCCAAUAGC